rnacentral:rRNA from 1 species
CCAGACUCCUACGGGAGGCAGCAGUGGGGGAUAUUGCACAAUGGGGGGAACCCUGAUGCAGCGACGCCGCGUGGGUGAAGGAGCGUUUCGGCGCGUAAAGCCCUAUCGGCAGGGAAGAAGGAGGACGGUACCUGACUAAGAAGCCCCGGCUAACUACGUGCCAGCAGCCGCGGUAAUACGUAGGGGGCAAGCGUUAUCCGGAUUUACUGGGUGUAAAGGGAGCGUAGACGGAAAGGCAAGUCAGAAGUGAAAGCCCAAGGCUCAACCAUGGGACUGCUUUUGAAACUGUCAAACUAGAGUACGGGAGAGGUAAGAGGAAUUCCUAGUGUAGCGGUGAAAUGCGUAGAUAUUAGGAGGAACACCAGUGGCGAAGGCGUCUUACUGGACCGAAACUGACGUUGAGGCUCGAAAGCGUGGGGAGCAAACAGGAUUAGAUACCCCAGUA